rnacentral:rRNA from 1 species
ACCAACAAGCUUGCUUGGUUGGGUUGUAGGACACUCUAUACGGAGUUACAAAGGACGACAUUAGACGAAUCAUCUGGAAAGAUUAAUCAAAGAAGGUAAGAAUCCUGUAGUCGAAAAUGUUGUCUCUCUUGAGUGGAUCCUGAGUAGGGCGGGGCACGUGAAACCCUGUCUGAAUAUGGGGGGACCAUCCUCCAAGGCUAAAUACUCCUGACCGACCGAUAGUGAACCAGUACCGUGAGGGAAAGGCGAAAAGAACCCCGGAGAGGGGAGUGAAAUAGAUCCUGAAACCGUGUGCGUACAAGCAGUAGGAGCUCGCAAGAGUGACUGCGUACCUUUUGUAUAAUGGGUCAGCGACUUACUGUUCGUGGCAAGCUUAACCGUAUAGGGGAGGCGAAGGGAAACCGAGUCUGAUAAGGGCGCAUAGUCGCGGGCAGUAGACCCGAAACCGGGUGAUCUAGUCAUGGCCAGGGUGAAGGUGCCGUAACAGGUACUGGAGGCCCGAACCCACGUCUGUUGCAAAAGACGGGGAUGAGCUGUGAUUAGGAGUGAAAAGCUAAUCGAACCCGGAGAUAGCUGGUUCUCCUCGAAAGCUAUUUAGGUAGCGCCUCGGACGAAUACUACUGGGGGUAGAGCACUGUUAUGGCUAGGGGGUCAUCGCGACUUACCAAACCAUUGCAAACUCCGAAUACCAGUACGUACUAUCCGGGAGACACACGGCGGGUGCUAACGUCCGUCGUGAAAAGGGAAACAACCCAGACCCACAGCUAAGGUCCCAAAUUCACUGCUAAGUGGAAAACGAUGUGGAAAGGCAUAGACAGCCAGGAGGUUGGCUUAGAAGCAGCCACCCUUUAAAGAAAGCGUAAUAGCUCACUGGUCGAGUCGGUCUGCGCGGAAGAUUUAACGGGGCUAAGCAGUGAACCGAAGCUUGGGGUGCGUAAAACUUCGGUUUUAUGCGCGGUAGAGGAGCGUUCCGUAAGCCUGCGAAGGUGGAUUGAGAAGUCUGCUGGAGGUAUCGGAAGUGCGAAUGCUGACAUGAGUAACGAUAAUGCGGGUGAAAAGCCCGCACGCCGAAAGCCCAAGGUUUCCUUGCGCAACGUUAAUCGACGCAGGGUUAGUCGGUCCCUAAGGCGAGGGCGAAAGCCGUAGUCGAUGGGAAGCAGGUUAAUAUUCCUGCACCUCGCGUGAGUGCGAUGGAGGGACGGAGAAGGUUAGGUGUACCGGGCGUUGGUUGUCCCGGGGAAAGGCGGUAGGUUUGGAUCUUUGGCAAAUCCGGGAUCCUUUAAGGCCGAGCACCGAGACGAGCCUUUAUGGCGAAGUCACUGAUACCACGCUUCCAGGAAAAGCUCCUAAGCUUCAGCUCACGAAGACCGUACCGUAAACCGACACAGGUGGGUAGGAUGAGAAUUCUCAGGCGCUUGAGAGAACUCGGGUGAAGGAACUAGGCAACAUGGCACCGUAACUUCGGGAGAAGGUGCACCCUUUUUGGUGGCUCAUGCGAGCUAUAGCUGAAGAGGGUCGCAGAAACCAGGCCGCUGCGACUGUUUAUCAAAAACAC